GCCUACGGGGGGCAGCAGUGGGGAAUUUUGGACAAUGGACGAAAGUCUGAUCCAGCCAUGCCGCGUGCGGGAAGAAGGCCUUCGGGUUGUAAACCGCUUUUGUCAGGGAAGAAAUCCCUUGGGAUAAUACCUCGGGGGGAUGACGGUACCUGAAGAAUAAGCACCGGCUAACUACGUGCCAGCAGCCGCGGUAAUACGUAGGGUGCAAGCGUUAGUCGGAAUUACUGGGCGUAAAGCGUGCGCAGGCGGUUAUGCAAGACAGAUGUGAAAUCCCCGGGCUCAACCUGGGAACUGCAUUUGUGACUGCAUAGCUUGAGUGCGGCAGAGGGGAAUGGAAUUCCGCGUGUAGCAGUGAAAUGCGUAGAUAUGCGGAGGAACACCGAUGGCGAAGGCAAUCCCCUGGGCCUGCACUGACGCUCAUGCACGAAAGCGUGGGGAGCAAACAGGAUUAGAAACCCUAGUAGUCCU
rnacentral:rRNA from 1 species